rnacentral:rRNA from 1 species
GGGGAAUAUUGCACAAUGGGGGAAACCCUGAUGCAGCGACGCCGCGUGGAGGAAGAAGGUCUUCGGAUUGUAAACUCCUGUUGUUGAGGAAGAUAAUGACGGUACUCAACAAGGAAGUGACGGCUAACUACGUGCCAGCAGCCGCGGUAAAACGUAGGUCACAAGCGUUGUCCGGAAUUACUGGGUGUAAAGGGAGCGCAGGCGGGAAGACAAGUUGGAAGUGAAAUCUAUGGGCUCAACCCAUAAACUGCUUUCAAAACUGUUUUUCUUGAGUAGUGCAGAGGUAGGCGGAAUUCCCGGUGUAGCGGUGGAAUGCGUAGAUAUCGGGAGGAACACCAGUGGCGAAGGCGGCCUACUGGGCACCAACUGACGCUGAGGCUCGAAAGUGUGGGUAGCAAACAGGAUUAGAUACCCUGGUAGUCCACACCAUAAACGAUGAUUACUAGGUGUUGGAGGAUUGACCCCUUCAGUGCCGCAGUUAACACAAUAAGUAAUCCACCUGGGGAGUACGACCGCAAGGUUGAAACUCAAAGGAAUUGACGGGGGCCCGCACAAGCAGUGGAGUAUGUGGUUUAAUUCGACGCAACGCGAAGAACCUUACCAAGUCUUGACAUCCCUUGACGAACAUAGAAAUAUGUUUUCUCUUCGGAGCAAGGAGACAGGUGGUGCAUGGUUGUCGUCAGCUCGUGUCGUGAGAUGUUGGGUUAAGUCCCGCAACGAGCGCAACCCUUACUGUCAGUUACUACGCAAGAGGACUCUGGCAGGACUGCCGUUGACAAAACGGAGGAAGGUGGGGAUGACGUCAAAUCAUCAUGCCCUUUAUGACUUGGGCUACACACGUACUACAAUGGCGUUAAACAAAGAGAAGCAAGACCGCGAGGUGGAGCAAAACUCAGAAACAACGUCCCAGUUCGGACUGCAGGCUGCAACUCGCCUGCACGAAGUCGGAAUUGCUAGUAAUCGUGGAUCAGCAUGCCACGGUGAAUACGUUCCCG